GACGAACGCUGGCGGCGUGCUUAACACAUGCAAGUCGAACGGGCCUUGCUUCUUUUUUGGGGGUGGGGUUAGUGGCGAACGGGUGAGUAACACGUGGGUGAUCUGCCCUGUACUUCGGGAUAAGCUUGGGAAACUGGGUCUAAUACCGGAUAGGACCAUGGUUUAGUGUCUCAUGGUGGAAAGAUUAUUGUUUUGGUGCAGGAUGAGCUCGCGGCCUAUCAGCUUGUUGGUGGGGUAAUGGCCUACCAAGGCGUCGACGGGUAGCCGGCCUGAGAGGGUGGACGGCCACAUUGGGACUGAGAUACGGCCCAGACUCCUACGGGAGGCAGCAGUGGGGAAUAUUGCACAAUGGGCGCAAGCCUGAUGCAGCGACGCCGCGUGGGGGAUGACGGCCUUCGGGUUGUAAACUCCUUUCGUUAGGGACGAAGCCGCACCUUUUUUUGGGUGUGGUGACGGUACCUUUGUUAAAAGCACGGCUA
rnacentral:rRNA from 1 species